CGAAGUACSWUACUCGGAAUCACUGGGCGUAAAGGGCGCGUAGGCGGAUUAUCAAGUCUCUUGUGAAAUCUAAUGGCUUAACCAUUAAACUGCUUGGGAAACUGAUAGUCUAGAGUGAGGGAGAGGCAGAUGGAAUUGGUGGUGUAGGGGUAAAAUCCGUAGAUAUCACCAAGAAUACCCAUUGCGAAGGCGAUCUGCUGGAACUCAACUGACGCUAAGGCGCGAAAGCGUGGGGAGCAAACAGGAUUAGAUACCCUGGUAGUCCACGCCCUAAACGAUGUACACUAGUUGUUGGGGUGCUAGUCAUCUCAGUAAUGCAGCUAACGCAUUAAGUGUACCGCCCUGGGGAGUUACGG
rnacentral:rRNA from 1 species